UACGUAGGGUGCGAGCGUUAAUCGGAAUUACUGGGCGUAAAGCGUGCGCAGGCGGUUUGGUAAGACAGAUGUGAAAUCCCCGGGCUUAACCUGGGAAUUGCAUUUGUGACUGCCCGGCUAGAGUGUGUCAGAGGGGGGUGGAAUUCCACGUGUAGCAGUGAAAUGCGUAGAUAUGUGGAGGAAUACCGAUGGCGAAGGCAGCCCCCUGGGAUAACACUGACGCUCAUGCACGAAAGCGUGGGGAGCAAACAGG
rnacentral:rRNA from 1 species